rnacentral:rRNA from 1 species
UACGUAGGGUGCGAGCGUUACUCGGAAUUACUGGGCGUAAAGCGUGCGCAGGCGGUGAUGUAAGACAGAUGUGAAAUCCCCGGGCUUAACCUGGGAACUGCAUUUGUGACUGCACGGCUGGAGUGCGGCAGAGGGGGAUGGAAUUCCGCGUGUAGCAGUGAAAUGCGUAGAUAUGCGGAGGAACACCGAUGGCGAAGGCAAUCCCCUGGGCCUGCACUGACGCUCAUGCACGAAAGCGUGGGGAGCAAACAGG